UACGUAGGUGGCGAGCGUUAUCCGGAAUGAUUGGGCGUAAAGCGUGCGUAGGCUGUUUCGUAAGUCGUGUGUGAAAGGCGCGGGCUCAACCCGCGGACGGCACAUGAUACUGCGAGACUAGAGUAAUGGAGGGGGAACCGGAAUUCUCGGUGUAGCAGUGAAAUGCGUAGAUAUCGAGAGGAACACUCGUGGCGAAGGCGGGUUCCUGGACAUUAACUGACGCUGAGGCACGAAAGCGUGGGGAGCAAAUAGG
rnacentral:rRNA from 1 species